CAGUAGCCGCGGUAAUACGUAAGUGGCAAGCGUUGUCCGGAAUUAUUGGGCGUAAAGGGCUCGCAGGCGGUUUCUUAAGUCUGAUGUGAAAGCCCCCGGCUCAACCGGGGAGGGUCAUUGGAAACUGGGAAACUUGAGUGCAGAAGAGGAGAGUGGAAUUCCACGUGUAGCGGUGAAAUGCGUAGAGAUGUGGAGGAACACCAGUGGCGAAGGCGACUCUCUGGUCUGUAACUGACGCUGAGGAGCGAAAGCGUGGGGAGCGAACAGGAUUAGAUACCCCCGUAGUCCCUGUCUCUUAUAC
rnacentral:rRNA from 1 species